rnacentral:rRNA from 1 species
GACGAACCGUCCAAACGUUACUCGGAAUUACUGGGCUUAAAGGGUGCGUAGGCUGCGCGGAAAGUUGGGUGUGAAAUCCCUCGGCUCAACCGGGGAAUUGCAUUCAAAACUACCGUGCUCGAGGGAGACAGAGGUAAGCGGAACUCAAGGUGGAGCGGUGAAAUGCGUUGAUAUCUUGAGGAACACCGGUGGCGAAAGCGGCUUACUGGGUCUCUUCUGACGCUGAGGCACGAAAGCUAAGGUAGCAAACGGG